UCGUGGGUUGCCUUGUCUCCUCAAUUGAGGUAACGAGCGAGACCCCGGCCUGCUAAAUAGCCACGGGCGCCGCUCGCGGCGGCCGGCCGGCUUCUUAGAGGGACUGUCGGCGACUAGCCGACGGAAGCGCGGGGCAAUAACA
rnacentral:rRNA from 1 species